rnacentral:rRNA from 1 species
UACGUAGGGAGCAAGCGUUGUCCGGAAUCAUUGGGCGUAAAGCGCGCGUAGGUGGCCUCAUAAGUCCGCUGUGAAAGUCAAAGGCUCAACCUUUGAAAGCCGGUGGAUACUGUGAGGCUAGAGUACGGAAGAGGCGAGUGGAAUUCCUGGUGUAGCGGUGGAAUGCGCAGAUAUCCGGAGGAACACCGGUGGCGAAGGCGGCAUCCUGGACCGAUACUGACGCUGAGGAGCGAAAGCCAGGGGAGCAAACGGG